GCAUCAAUGGGGUAGAGGUAACCUGGGUCGUUGCCACAUAGUGACUCACAGCUGACAAUUUGUCUGUCGACCCGCCGGGGGUUCGAUUCCCUCUUGAUGCA